GCCGGGUGCGGUGGCGCAUGCCUGUAGUCCUUGCUACUCAAGGGGCUGAGACAGAAGGAUUGCUUGAAUCCAGAAGUUCUGGGCUGUAGUGUGCUAUGCCGAUCGGGUGUCUGCAAUAAGUUCAGCAUCAAUAUGGUGACCUCCCACAAGUUGGGGGCACUAGGUUGCCUAAGGAGGGGUAAACCGGCCCAGGUCAGAAAGCUUCUGUGCUGAUCAAUAGUGGGAUCGCGCCUGUGAAUAGCCACUGCAUUCAAGCCUGGGCAACAUAGUGAGACCCCAUCUCUU
rfam:Otolemur garnettii contig111293, whole genome shotgun sequence.